AGAGUUUGAUCCUGGCUCAGACUGAACGCUGGCGGCAGGCCUAACACAUGCAAGUCGAACGGUAACAGGAAGCAGCUUGCUGCUUUGCUGACGAGUGGCGGACGGGUGAGUAAUGUCUGGGAAACUGCCUGAUGGAGGGGGAUAACUACUGGAAACGGUAGCUAAUACCGCAUAACGUCGCAAGACCAAAGAGGGGGACCUUAGGGCCUCUUGCCAUCGGAUGCCCAGAUGGGAUUAGCUAGUAGGUGGGGUAACGGCUCACCUAGGCGACGAUCCCUAGCUGGUCUGAGAGGAUGACCAGCCACACUGGAACUGAGACACGGUCCAGACUCCUACGGGAGGCAGCAGUGGGGAAUAUUGCACAAUGGGCGCAAGCCUGAUGCAGCCAUGCCGCGUGUAUGAAGAAGGCCUUCGGGUUGUAAAGUCUUUUCAGCGGGGAGGAAGGGAGUAAAGUUGAUACGUUUGCUCAUUGACGUUACCCGCACAAGAAGCACCGGCUAACUCCGUGCCAGCAGCCGCGGUAAUACGGAGGGUGCAAGCGUUAAUCGGAAUUACUGGGCGUAAAGCGCACGCGCGCGUGUUGUUAAGUCAGAUGUGAUAUCACCGGGCUCAACCUGAGAACUGCAUCUGAUACUGGCGAGCUUGAGUCUCGUACAGGGGGGUAGAAUUCCAGGUGUACCGGUGAAAUGCGUGGAGAUCUGGAGGAAUAGCGGUGGCGAGUGCGGCCCCCUGUACGAAGACUGACGCUCAGGUGCGAAAGCGUGGUGAGCGAACAGGAUUACAUACUUCUGGUAGUCCAC
rnacentral:rRNA from 1 species